AUUGAACGCUGGCGGCAGGCUUAACACAUGCAAGUCGAGCGGGGGAGGUUGCUUCGGUAACUGACCUAGCGGCGGACGGGUGAGUAAUGCUUAGGAAUCUGCCUAUUAGUGGGGGACAACAUUCCGAAAGGGAUGCUAAUACCGCAUACGCCCUACGGGGGAAAGCAGGGGAUCUUCGGACCUUGCGCUAAUAGAUGAGCCUAAGUCGGAUUAGCUAGUUGGGGGGGUAAAGGCCUACUAAGGCGACGAUCUGUAGCGGGUCUGAGAGGAUGAUCCGCCGCACUGGGACUGAGACACGGCCCAGACUCCUACGGGAGGCAGCAGUGUGGAAUAUUGGACAAUGGGCGGAAGCCUGAUCCAGCCAUGCCGCGUGUGUGAAGAAGGCCUUUUGGUUGUAAAGCACUUUAAGCGAGGAGGAGGCUCUUAAGGUUAAUACCCUUGAUGAGUGGACGUUACUCGCAGAAUAAGCACCGGCUAACUCUGUGCCAGCAGCCGCCGCAGUAA
rnacentral:rRNA from 1 species